ensembl:snRNA U6 U6 spliceosomal RNA
GUGCUUGCUUUGGUGCACAAAUAUGACUUGGAAUGAUCUAGAGAUAAUUAGCAUGGCCCCUGUGCAAGGAUAACAUACAAAUUUGUGACGUAUUCGGAUCUGUU